CAGUCGAGGGGUAUAGGUUUUCGGACCUAGAGACCGGCGCACGGGUGCGUAACGCGUAUGCAAUCUACCUUUUACAGAGGGAUAGCCCAGAGAAAUUUGGAUUAAUACCUCAUAGUAUUACGACUCGGCAUCGAGAUGUAAUUAAAGUCACAACGGUAAAAGAUGAGCAUGCGUCCCAUUAGCUUGUUGGUAAGGUAACGGCUUACCAAGGCAACGAUGGGUAGGGGUCCUGAGAGGGAGAUCCCCCACACUGGUACUGAGACACGGACCAGACUCCUACGGGAGGCAGCAGUGAGGAAUAUUGGUCAAUGGGCGCAAGCCUGAACCAGCCAUGCCGCGUGCAGGAUGAAGCAUCUAUGGUGUGUAAACUGCUUUUGUACGAGAAGAAACACUCCUUCGUGAAGGAGCUUGACGGUAUCGUAAGAAUAAGGACCGGCUAACUCCGUGCCAGCAGCCGCGGUAAUACGGAGGGUCCAAGCGUUAUCCGGAAUCAUUGGGUUUAAAGGGUCCGUAGGCGGUUUUGUAAGUCAGUGGUGAAAGCCCAUCGCUCAACGGUGGAACGGCCAUUGAUACUGCAAGACUUGAAUUAUUGGGAAGUAACUAGAAUAUGUAGUGUAGCGGUGAAAUGCUUAGAGAUUACAUGGAAUACCAAUUGCGAAGGCAGGUUACUACCAAUAUAUUGACGCUGAUGGACGAAAGCGUGGGGAGCGAACAGGAUUAGAUACCCUGGUAGUCCACGCCGUAAACGAUGGAUACUAGCUGUUCGGAGCAAUCUGAGUGGCUAAGCGAAAGUGAUAAGUAUCCCACCUGGGGAGUACGUU
rnacentral:rRNA from 1 species